AGUAACAAAAAUAAGUUAGAUUAUCUCUCACGAAGGGCCGUGAGCUAAACACGCAUAUGUCUGUGCAUACGUGGUAUAGUAUACACAUAAUACUUGUUUAGGAGUGAUAGGCUUAUCAAGCUGUCCGAUAACUUGUUCCAUAUUAAAAGUAUUAAGUACGCUGACAAAUUUAAAAAGGUAAGCUUUUAAAUGUUCAUAAAAACCAUUCUUUUCCUUUAGCGAAGUGUAGUAGCUUGUUGUAAUAAAGUAAAAAUAUUAAUUAUAUGUUUUUAUCUCACGUAGUAUGGCGUUUUUAAUUAUAAACCAUUUGAUAAUGUUACUAUUAGUAGUCACGUAAAUGUGUUAAAGGAACUCGGCAAAUAGCCUCUCAACUGUUUACCAAAAACAUAGCUGUAUGUAUUAAUAUAUAGUUAUUUCUGCUCAAUGAUUAUUAAAUAGCCGCAGUACCCUGACUGUGCAAAGGUAGCAUAAUCAGUUGGCUUUUAAUUGGAGUCUGGCAUGAACGAAAAUAUGGGUGGCAACUGUCUUAACAUAUUUUCUCUAACUUGUUAAGCAAGUGAAAAUCCUUGCAUUAUUAUAAAAGACGAGAAGACCCUAGAAACUUAAAAAUGUUUUUGUUGGGGCGACAGAAUUACAUGGAACUAAUUUUAUAGGACAUGAUAUAUAUUGAAAGAUAAAGUUACUCUAGGGAUAACAGCAUAAUUGAAACAGUUUGUGACCUCGAUGUUGGACUAGGUAUUGUAUCCUUUAGAUAAGGUUAUAAUAUGCUCUGUUCGAGCAAUUUUACCUACAU
rnacentral:rRNA from 1 species